rnacentral:lncRNA from 1 species
AAAGAGAUCAUGAUUGAGGCAACGACUCCUUUUGCUUCGGGAGGAUAUCGCUUCAGAACCAAUGAAGAUGCUGAUGAGAGAAGAUACUUUUGGAACAUAAUAUUAUAUUCCAAAAUUAGGGGGCAUGUGUUGAUGCCGGUUUUUGACCAGAGUCAACCGAUGAAGGUAAGGUUCUCACAACCGAUGGAUUUGCAGAAGAAAAGGUCUGUUGACGUUGAUCAAAACUAGCUACGGACGAUCGAAUUCUAGAAGUCGUUAGAAGACCAGGAGGGGACCUAUCCGAAGCGAAAUCGACUCCAC